AUUCCCAUUUUAGUACCAUUCAUUCGGUGCACCAAGAAUGACUGGCUAUGCUAAUGGGAGAGAGCAACACUGUCACAGUCUGAAGGAGAGGUUGGCAAUAUCCAUCUCUCCUAUAUGAAGUGGCAAUACAUUUUGAU
ensembl:snoRNA